rnacentral:rRNA from 1 species
UGAACGCUGGCGGCGUGCUUAACACAUGCAAGUCGGAACGAAGCACUUUAUUUGAUUUCCUUCGGGACUGAUUAUUUUGUGACUGAGUGGGCGGACGGGUGAGUAACGCGUGGGUAACCUGCCUUGUACAGGGGGAUAACAGUUGGAAACGGCUGCUAAUACCGCAUAAGCGCACGGCAUCACAUGAUGCAGUGUGAAAAACUCCGGUGGUAUAAGAUGGACCCGCGUUGGAUUAGCUAGUUGGUGAGGUAACGGCCCACCAAGGCGACGAUCCAUAGCCGACCUGAGAGGGUGACCGGCCACAUUGGGACUGAGACACGGCCCAAACUCCUACGGGAGGCAGCAGUGGGGAAUAUUGCACAAUGGGCGAAAGCCUGAUGCAGCGACGCCGCGUGAGCGAAGAAGUAUUUCGGUAUGUAAAGCUCUAUCAGCAGGGAAGAUAAUGACGGUACCUGACUAAGAAGCACCGGCUAAAUACGUG